rnacentral:rRNA from 1 species
UACAGAGGGUGCAAGCGUUGUUCGGAAUUAUUGGGCGUAAAGCGCGUGUAGGCGGCUUUGCAAGUCGGGUGUGAAAGCCCUCGGCUCAACCGAGGAAGUGCGCCCGAAACUGCAGAGCUUGAGUACCGGAGAGGAUGGCGGAAUUCCCCAAGUAGAGGUGAAAAUUCGUAGAUAUGGGGAGGAACACCGGUGGCGAAGGCGGCCAUCUGGACGGAUACUGACGCUGAGACGCGAAAGCGUGGGGAGCAAACAGG